AAUCCUUGGAGACGCAGCUUCCGCCACUGGACCCAAUCAUCGAUCAAGGCCCGGCCAAAAGGCUCAGGAUUCAGUAACACAUUGUUGUACAUGAAGCGGCGAUCCAUGUUAGAAAUUGAUUUACCUUGUCUAAGUAAUUUCCCUAUAACAAGUCUCAGGAUUCAGUAACACAUUGUUGUACAUGAAGCGGAGAUCCAUGUUAGAAAUUGAUUUACCUUGUCUAAGUAAUUUCCCUAUAACAAGUCUCAUAAUUCAUACAAGAUAACUUGACAUUAUCCUAGUGGUCCUCAUGUUUGUAUAUAUGUUAGGGUAGACCUCAUACAUGCAUACAUAUUAGGA
rnacentral:lncRNA from 1 species